rnacentral:rRNA from 1 species
UGGGGAAUUUUCCGCAAUGGGCGAAAGCCUGACGGAGCAACGCCGCGUGAGGGACGAAGGCCUCUGGGCUGUAAACCUCUUUUCUCAAGGAAGAAGACAUGACGGUACUUGAGGAAUAAGCCACGGCUAAUUCCGUGCCAGCAGCCGCGGUAAUACGGGAGUGGCAAGCGUUAUCCGGAAUUAUUGGGCGUAAAGCGUCCGCAGGCGGCCCUGUAAGUCUGUCGUCAAAGCGUGGAGCUUAACUCCAUUUCGGCGGUGGAAACUACAGGGCUUGAGUGUGGUAGGGGCAGAGGGAAUUCCCGGUGUAGCGGUGAAAUGCGUAGAUAUCGGGAAGAACACCAGUGGCGAAGGCGCUCUGCUGGGCCAUAACUGACGCUCAUGGACGAAAGCCAGGGGAGCGAAAGGG